rnacentral:rRNA from 1 species
CACGGUAAACGAUGGAUGCCCGCUGUUUGCGAUAUACUGUGAGCGGCCAAGAGAAAUCGUUAAGCAUCCCACCUGGGGAGUACGCCGGCAACGGUGAAACUCAAAGGAAUUGACGGGGGCCCGCACAAGCGGAGGAACAUGUGGUUUAAUUCGAUGAUACGCGAGGAACCUUACCCGGGCUUGAACUGCAGCGGAAGGAUACAGAGAUGUUGACGCCCUUCGGGGCCGCUGUGGAGGUGCUGCAUGGUUGUCGUCAGCUCGUGCCGUGAGGUGUCGGCUUAAGUGCCAUAACGAGCGCAACCCUUUUCUUUAGUUGCCAUCAGGUAAUGCUGGGCACUCUGGAGAUACUGCCACCGUAAGGUGUGAGGAAGGUGGGGAUGACGUCAAAUCAGCACGGCCCUUACGUCCGGGGCUACACACGUGUUACAAUGGGAGGUACAGAGAGUUGGUUGUACGCAAGUGCGAUCUAAUCCUAAAAGCCUUCCUCAGUUCGGACUGGGGUCUGCAACCCGACC